AGCAGUCGCCGCGGGAACACGUAGGUUCCGAGCGUUGUCCGGAUUUAUUGGGCGUAAAGGGAGCGCAGGCGGUUUAGUAAGUCUGAAGUUAAAGGCAUUGGCUCAACCAAUGUAUGCUUUGGAAACUGUUAGACUUGAGUGCAGAAGGGGAGAGUGGAAUUCCAUGUGUAGCGGUGAAAUGCGUAGAUAUAUGGAGGAACACCGGUGGCGAAAGCGGCUCUCUGGUCUGUCACUGACGCUGAGGCUCGAAAGCGUGGGUAGCGAACAGGAUUAGAUACCCCUGUAGUCCCUGUCUCUUAUACC
rnacentral:rRNA from 1 species